rnacentral:rRNA from 1 species
GGAGUGAAAGGCUAAACAAACCUGGAAAUAGCUGGCUCUCCCCGAAAUGCCUUUAGGGACAGCCUCAUGCAAAGCGGAAGGAGGUAAAGCACCGGAUGGGAUAGGGGGCGUCACAGUCUACCGACACCAAUCGAACUCAGAAUGCCAUCCGCCAACGCAUGGGAGUGAGACUGUGUGCUCCAAGGUUCAUAGUCGAGAGGGAAACAGCCCGGACCGACGGCAAAGGUCCCAAAAUAACGCUCAGUGUGAAAUGAGGUGCGUCUGCACAGACAGCCAGGAGGUUGGCUCAGAAGCAGCCAUUCCUUAAAAGAGUGCGUAACAGCUCACUGGUCGAGCAGGCGUGCGCAGACAAUGUAACGGGGCUAAGCGUUAUACCGAAGCCGCGGGUCCGCAUCGUAAGAGAUGCGGGCGGUAGGGGAGCAUUGCGCUAACCGAAGAAGGCGUACCUGUGAGGGGCGCUGGAGGAAGCGGAAGAGAGAAUGCAGGCACAAGUAACGAAAAGACGGGUGAGAUUCCCGUCCGCCGAAAGCCUGAGGAUUCCCGGGUAAAGGCAAUCUGCCCGGGGUAAGUCGGCCCCUAAGGCGAGGACGAAAGUCGUAGUCGAUGGGAAAUCGGUUCAAAAUCCGAUACCCGGCUCAGUUUUGAAGGCAGGACGCAUGAGGUGAAAUCCGGCAGAAGAACGGUAGUUUCUGUCCAAGCGGUAAGGUGUUGAGAGGGCGGUUAAAAGAGCCCUUGAGCUGAGCCGUUACGGGGAGCGGAGCGCAGGCGAAGCGAAGCGGACGUAAUCAAGGUGCCGGGAAAUACUGUCUAAAGUUAGGCUGAGUCGGACCGUACCGGAAACGGACACACGCAGGCAGGAUGAGUAAUCUAAGGCGCACGAGCGACCCCGCGUUAAGGAACUCGGCAAAAAGCACACGUAACUUCGGAAGAAGUGUGGCUCACGCUGAUAAGGAUGUGAGCGGCAGAAAGCAGGCCCAGGCGACUGUUUAUCAAAAACACAGCCAUCUGCGAACCAGUAAUGGGACGUAUAGGUGGUGACACCUGCCCGGUACCGGAAGGUUAAGGGGAGGGGUUAGCAGCAAUGCGAAGCUCCGAACCGAAGCCCCGGCAAACGGCGGCCGUAACUAUAACGGUCCUAAGGUAGCGAAAUUCCUUGUCGGGUAAGUUCCGACCCGCACGAAUGGUGUAACGAUUCUGGGCGCUGUCUCAACGCGGGACUCGGUGAAACUUAUAUUCCGGUAAAGAAGCCGGAUACCCGUAAUUAGACGGAAAGACCCCGUGAACCUUCACCGCAGCUUAUCACUGGGAUUCUAUCCGCCAUGUGUAGGAUAGCCGGGAGGCUAUGAAGCGUGCGCGUUAGCGUGCGUGGAGCCGUUGGUGAAAUACCGGCCCUGGCGGAUGGGAUUUCUAACUCCGGUCCGUGAAGCCGGAAGGGGGACAGUGAUUGGCGGGCGGUUUGACUGGGGCGGUCGCCUCCUAAAGGGUAACGGAGGCGCGCGAAGGUCUCCUCGCGGUGGUUGGAAAUCAUCGUACGAGUGUAAAGGCACAAGGAGGCUUGACUGCGAG